rnacentral:rRNA from 1 species
GAUGAACGCUGGCGGCGUGCCUAAUACAUGCAAGUCGAGCGAACAGACGAGGAGCUUGCUCCUUCGACGUUAGCGGCGGACGGGUGAGCAACACGUAGGUAACCUACCUAUAAGACUGGGAUAACUUCGGGAAACCGGAGCUAAUACCGGAUAAUAUUUCGAACCGCACGGUUCGAUAGUGAAAGAUGGCUUUGCUAUCACUUAUAGAUGGACCUGCGCCGUAUUAGCUAGUUGGUAAGGUAACGGCUUACCAAGGCAACGAUACGUAGCCGACCUGAGAGGGGGACGGGCAACAUUGGAAAGGAGACACGGCCAAGAAUCCGAGGGGAGGAACAAGAGGGGAAUGUUCGGCAAGGGGGGAAGGCAGGAGGGAGAAACGCCGGGGGGGGAAAAAAGGUCUUAGGAUGUAAAAACUGUUUUAUGGGGAAAAAAAAAAGGGGAAAGAAAAUGUGCACGUUUGGACGGUACCUAAUAAAAAAGCCCCGGCUAACUACGUC